rnacentral:rRNA from 1 species
AUAUUGGCGAGAGACCGAUAGCGAACAAGUACCGUGAGGGAAAGAUGAAAAGCACUUUGGAAAGAGAGUUAACAGUACGUGAAAUUGUUGGAAGGGAAACACAUGCAGCCAGACUUGCUAUUCGGGGCAACUCGAUUGGCAGGCCCGCAUCAGUUUUUCGGGGCGGAAAAGCAUAGAGAGAAGGUAGCAAUUUCGGUUGUGUUAUAGCUCUUUAUUGGAUUCGCCCUGGGGGACUGAGGAACGCAGCGUGCUUUUAGCAUAAGCUUCGGCUUAUCCACGCUUAGGAUGCGGGUGUAAUGGCUGUAUAUGACCCGUCUUGAAACACGGACC